rnacentral:rRNA from 1 species
AUUGAACGCUGGCGGCAGGCCUAACACAUGCAAGUCGAACGAGUGGCGGACGGGUGAGUAAUGUCUGGGAAACUGCCUGAUGGAGGGGGAUAACUACUGGAAACGGUAGCUAAUACCGCAUACCAUCAGAUGUGCCCAGCUGGGCUUAGCUAGUUGGUGGGGUGACGGCUCACCAAGGCGCCGAUCCCUAGCUGGUCUGAGAGGAUGAACAGCCACACUGGAAUUGAGACACGGUCCAUACUCCUACGGUGGGCAGCAGUGGGGAAUAUUGCACAAUGGGCGUAAGCCUGAUGCAGCCAUGCCGCGUGUAUGAAGAAGUCCUUCGGGUUGUAAAGAACUUUCAGCGAGGAGGCGUUACCCGCAGAAGAAGCACCGGCUAACUCCGUGCCAGCAGCCGCGGUAAUUC